CUACGUGCCAGCAGCCGCGGUAAUACGUAGGUCCCGAGCGUUAUCCGGAUUUAUUGGGCGUAAAGCGAGCGCAGGCGGUUAGAUAAGUCUGAAGUUAAAGGCUGUGGCUUAACCAUAGUACGCUUUGGAAACUGUUUAACUUGAGUGCAGAAGGGGAGAGUGGAAUUCCAUGUGUAGCGGUGAAAUGCGUAGAUAUAUGGAGGAACACCGGUGGCGAAAGCGGCUCUCUGGCUUGUAACUGACGCUGAGGCUCGAAAGCGUGGGGAGCAAACAGGAUUAGAUACCCUGGUAGUCCACGCCGUAAACGAUGAGUGCUAGGUGUUAGACCCUUUCCGGGGUUUAGUGCCGUAGCUAACGCAUUAAGCACUCCGCCUGGGGAGUACGACCGCAAGGUUGAAACUCAAAGGAAUUGACGGGGGCCCGCACAAGCGGCGGAGCAUGCGGAUUAAUUCGAUGCAACGCGAAGAACCUUACCAAGGCUUGACAU
rnacentral:rRNA from 1 species